rnacentral:rRNA from 1 species
UACGAAGGGGGCGAGCGUUGUUCGGAAUCACUGGGCGUAAAGGCGCGUAGGCGGCCCUCUUAGUCGCGUGUGAAAGCCCCGGGCUCAACCUGGGAACGGCGCGCCGAAACGGGAGGGCUGGAGUUCGGGAGAGGGAUGCGGAAUUCCAGGUGUAGCGGUGAAAUGCGUAGAUAGUCUGGAGGAACACCGGUGGCGAAGGCGGCAUCCGUGGACCGAGAUUGACGCUGAGGCGCGAAAGCCAGGGGAGAGCAAAGCGGG